rnacentral:rRNA from 1 species
AACGCAGCGAAGGGCGAUACGUAAUGUGAAUUGCAGAAUUCAGUGAAUCAUCGAAUCUUUGAACGCACAUUGCACUCUCUGGUAUUCCGGAGAGUAUGCUUGUUUGAGUAUCUGUAAACAUCUCAAAUCUCUCGACUUUCGAGUUUGAGAGAAUUGGACUUGAGCAAUCCCAACUCCUUCGUCAGAAAGAGGAGGGUUGCUUGAAAUGCAGGUGCAGCUGGACAUUCUUCUGAGCUAAAAGCAUAUUAUUUAGUCCCGUCAAACGGAUUAUUACUUUUGCUCUAGCUAAUAUAAAGGUCGAAUGUGCUAUAUGCUGACUGAUGCAGGAUUACCAAGUUUUACUAGCUAAAACUUGUAAACUCGAUCUCAAAUCAAGUAGGACUACCCGCUGAACUUAA